rnacentral:rRNA from 1 species
AACGAACGCUGGCGGCAGGCUUAACACAUGCAAGUCGAACGGAUCCUUCGGGAUCAGUGGCGGACGGGUGAGUAACGCGUGGGAACCUACCCUGGGGUGGGGAAUAACCUUGGGAAACCGAGGCUAAUACCGCAUACGCCCUAUUGGGGAAAGACUAUGUUGCCCUGGGAUGGGCCCGCGUCCGAUUAGCUAGUUGGUGGGGUAAUGGCUUACCAAGGCGACGAUCAGUAGUUCGGUCUGAGAGGACGACCAGCCACACUGGGACUGAGACACGGCCCAGACUCCUACGGGAGGCAGCAGUGGGGAAUUUUGGACAAUGGGCGCAAGCCUGAUCCAGCAAUGCCGCGUGAGUGAAGAAGGCCUACGGGUUGUAAAGCUCUUUCAGUUGAGAAGAAAAAGUACGUGACUAAUAAUCAUGAUUCAUGACGGUAUCAACAGAAGAAGCACCGGCUAACUACGUGCCAGCAGCCGCGGUAAU